GAAAUGCGAUAAGUAGUGUGAAUUGCAGAAUUCAGUGAAUCAUCGAAUCUUUGAACGCACAUUGCGCCCUUUGGUAUUCCUUAGGGCAUGCCUGUUCGAGCGUCAUCUAAACCUUCAAGCCCUGCUUGGUGUUGGGUGCCUGUCCCGCCUCCGCGCGCGGACUCACCUCAAAUCCAUUGGCGGCCCCCCCCUCGGCGGGACGGUCGGAAGCCUGCAGCGUUGCGACACCCGUUCGCUCCGGAGGACCGCCGCCCGCGCCGUUAAAACUCUUCAUCACAGGUUGACCUCGGAUCGGGUAGGGAUACCCGCUGAACUUAAGC
rnacentral:misc_RNA from 1 species